AUGCCAUGAUGAGGGCAAGCUUCAGUCAACUCAUUUAACCUUUCCCAAGCUUCAGAAAAUGACUCCUCAUCCUAUUGACUACAGUUUUAGUUGAGGUGUCU
rnacentral:snoRNA from 1 species